rnacentral:rRNA from 1 species
GACGAACGCUGGCGGCGUGCUUAACACAUGCAAGUCGUACGGUAAGGCCCUUUCGGGGGUACACGAGUGGCGAACGGGUGAGUAACACGUGAGUAACCUGCCCACAACUUUGGGAUAACGCUAGGAAACUGGUGCUAAUACUGGAUAUGUGCUCCUGCUGCAUGGUGGGGGUUGGAAAGCUCCGGCGGUUGUGGAUGGACUCGCGGCCUAUCAGCUUGUUGGUGGGGUAGUGGCCUACCAAGGCGGCGACGGGUAGCCGGCCUGAGAGGGUGACCGGCCACAUUGGGACUGAGAUACGGCCCAGACUCCUACGGGAGGCAGCAGUGGGGAAUAUUGCACAAUGGGCGCAGGCCUGAUGCAGCAACGCCGCGUGCGGGAUAACGGCCUUCGGGUUGUAAACCGCUUUCAGCAGGGACGAAGCUUUUUGUGACGGUACCUGCAGAAGAAGCACCGGCUAACUACGUG